rnacentral:rRNA from 1 species
CAACUUCUCAGCAACGGAUCUCUUGGCUCUCGCAUCGA